GAUGAACGCUAGCGGCAGGCUUAACACAUGCAAGUCGAGGGGUAGAGGAAGCUUGCUUCCUUGAGACCGGCGCACGGGUGCGUAACGCGUAUGCAACCUACCUUUUACAGAGGGAUAGCCCAGAGAAAUUUGGAUUAAUACCUCAUGGUAUAUAUAAUUCGCAUGUUUGAUAUAUUAAAGUUCCAACGGUAAAAGAUGGGCAUGCGUCCUAUUAGCUAGAUGGUAAGGUAACGGCUUACCAUGGCAACGAUAGGUAGGGGUCCUGAGAGGGAGAUCCCCCACACUGGUACUGAGACACGGACCAGACUCCUACGGGAGGCAGCAGUGAGGAAUAUUGGACAAUGGGCGCAAGCCUGAUCCAGCCAUGCCGCGUGCAGGAAGAAGCAUCUAUGGUGUGUAAACUGCUUUUGUACGGGAAGAAACACUCCUUCGUGAAGGAGCUUGACGGUACCGUAAGAAUAAGGAUCGGCUAACUCCGUGCCAGCCGCCGCUGUAAAAC
rnacentral:rRNA from 1 species